UUAGUGGCGAACGGGUGAGUAACACGUGAGCAACCUGCCCCUGACUCUGGGAUAAGCGCUGGAAACGGCGUCUAAUACUGGAUAUGUCCCAUCACCGCAUGGUGUGUGGGUGGAAAGAUUUUUCGGUUGGGGAUGGGCUCGCGGCCUAUCAGCUUGUUGGUGAGGUAAUGGCUCACCAAGGCGUCGACGGGUAGCCGGCCUGAGAGGGUGACCGGCCACACUGGGACUGAGACACGGCCCAGACUCCUACGGGAGGCAGCAGUGGGGAAUAUUGCACAAUGGGCGGAAGCCUGAUGCAGCAACGCCGCGUGAGGGAUGACGGCCUUCGGGUUGUAAACCUCUUUUAGCAGGGAAGAAGCGAGAGUGACGGUACCUGCAGAAAAAGCACCGGCUAACUACGUGCCAGCAGCCGCGGUAAUACGUAGGGUGCAAGCGUUAUCCGGAAUUAUUGGGCGUAAAGAGCUCGUAGGCGGUCUGUCGCGUCUGCUGUGAAAUUCCGAGGCUCAACCUCGGGCUUGCAGUGGGUACGGGCAGACUAGAGUGCGGUAGGGGAGAUUGGAAUUCCUGGUGUAGCGGUGGAAUGCGCAGAUAUCAGGAGGAACACCGAUGGCGAAGGCAGAUCUCUGGGCCGUAACUGACGCUGAGGAGCGAAAGGGUGGGGAGCAAACAGGCUUAGAUACCCUGGUAGUCCACCCCGUAAACGUUGGGAACUAGUUGUGGGGUCCUUUCCACGGAUUCCGUGACGCAGCUAACGCAUUAAGUUCCCCGCCUGGGGAGUACGGCCGCAAGGCUAAAACUCAAAGGAAUUGACGGGGACCCGCACAAGCGGCGGAGCAUGCGGAUUAAUUCGAUGCAACGCGAAGAACCUUACCAAGGCUUGACAUACACGAGAACGGGCCAGAAAUGGUCAACUCUUUGGACACUCGUGAACAGGUGGUGCAUGGUUGUCGUCAGCUCGUGU
rnacentral:rRNA from 1 species